rnacentral:misc_RNA from 1 species
UGCCAAUCGCAAUCAGUCACUGAGGGA